rnacentral:rRNA from 1 species
CCCUUAGAUGUCCUGGGCCGCACGCGCGCUACACUGAGUGUCUGAGAUACGAGUCUGCCUGGUCCGGCAAGGUCUAGGUAAUCGCUAAAAGACACAUCAUGCUUGGGAUAGAUUAUUGCAAAUAUUAAUCUUGAACGAGGAAUUCCUAGUAAGCGCAAGUCAACAGCUUGCGUUGAUUACGUCCCUGCCCUUUGUACACACCGCCCGUCGCUACUACUGAUUGGAUGUUUAAGCGAGGUUCUCGAACUGCUAGCGACUUAGCUUCGGUGAGGUCGCAGUGUGGGACGUGAACCUAGCUUUGGUGUCUAGAGGAAGUAAAAGUCGUAACA